UUCUCUUUCCAGCCUUCU
rnacentral:misc_RNA from 1 species